rnacentral:rRNA from 1 species
GGUUGACCCUGCCAGUAGCAUAUGCUUGUCUCUGAGACUAAGCCAUGCAUGUCUAAGUAUAAAUUAAUUUUUACGGUGAAACUGCGGACGGCUCAUUAAAUCAGUUAUAACCUACUUGAUCGUGUGACUUUAUUCGGAUAACCCUAGUAAUUCUAGAGCUAAUACGUGCUAAAAGCCUUAACUUCCAGCAAUGGGGGAAGAAGUGUAUUUAUUAGAAACUAAAACCAAUCAGCUUCGGCUGUUUGAGAUGAUUCAUAAUAACUCGGCAAAUUACGGGAAAAUUCCUGUGAUGAUUCAAACGGAUUUCUGACCUAUCAACUUUAGAUGGCAAAGUAGGGGUUUGCCAUGGUGACAACGGGUGACGGGGAAUUAGGGUUCGAUUCCGGAGAGGGAGCCUGAGAAACGGCUACCACUUCCGAGGAAGGCAGCAGGCGCGCAAAUUACCCAAUGCUAAUUCGGCGAGGUAGUGACAAGAAAUACCAAUGUAGGACCCAACGGGUACUACGUUUGGAAUGAGAACAAUUUAAAAACCUUAACGAGGAACAAUUGGAGGGCAAGUCUGGUGCCAGCAGCCGCGGUAAUUCCAGCUCCAAUAGUGUAUAUUAAAGUUGCUGCGGUUAAAAAGCUCGUAGUUGGAUUACGAAGUGGUGUUUAAAUGUCAUUUUGGUUUGUUUGUCUUUCGGGGCAUUCAGGUCAACUUGGCUUUUACUCACUGUUGUCAUUGUCUUUGCCCAAGGUAUAUGCCUUGUGUGCAUGGCAUUGACCUUCUAUUUUAUGGUAAUGUUGUAUCUUUCGGGGUACAUUCAUUCCAUAUAGUUUACUUUGAAAAAAUUAGGGUGUUUAAAGCAGGCGAAAAGGCUUCGGAAUAUAUUAGCAUGGGAUAAUAGAAUACGAUCUAGGUCGUAAUUUGUUGGUUUCUACGGCUUAGGUAAUGAUUGACAGGGAUAGUUGGGGUCGCUCGUAUUGAGUUGUCAGAGGUGAAAUUCUAGGAUUAACUCAAGACGAACUAAUGCGAAAGCAUUCGGCAAGGAUGUUUUCAUUAAUCAAGAACGAAAGUUGGGGGAUCGAAGAUGAUCAGAUACCGUCGUAGUCUCAACUGUAAACUAUGUCGACCGAGGAUCCGGUAGCGUUACAUGGAUGACCUUCCGGGCACUCUGUGAGAAAUCAUAAGUAUUUGGAUUUCGGGGGGAGUAUGGUCGCAAGGCUGAAACUUAAAGGGAUUGACGGAAGGGCACCACCAGGAGUGGAAUCUGCGGCUUAAUUUGACCCAACACGGGAAAACUUACCAGGUCCGGACACAGUGAGGAUUGACAGAUUGAGAGCUCUUUCUUGAUUUUGUGGGUGGUGGUGCAUGGCCGUUUUUAGUUGGUGGAGUGAUUUGUCUGGUUAAUUCCGUUAACGAACGAGACCUUAACCUAUUAAAUAGCUGCGCGAACCCAGGUUCUUUAACCAUUCUCUCCUUCGGGGGGGCGUGGUAUCAUUAUUUUGCUG